UGCGAUAAGCGCCGGUAAGGUGAUAUGAACCGUUAUAACCGGCGAUUUCCGAAUGGGGAAACCCAGUGUGAUUCGUCACACUAUCAUUAACUGAAUCCAUAGGUUAAUGAGGCGAACCGGGGGAACUGAAACAUCUAAGUACCCCGAGGAAAAGAAAUCAACCGAGAUUCCCCCAGUAGCGGCGAGCGAACGGGGAGGAGCCCAGAGCCUGAAUCAGCAUGUGUGUUAGUGGAAGCGUCUGGAAAGGCGCGCGAUACAGGGUGACAGCCCCGUACACAAAAGCGCAUGUGCUGUGAGCUCGAUGAGUAGGGCGGGACACGUGGUAUCCUGUCUGAAUAUGGGGGGACCAUCCUCCAAGGCUAAAUACUCCUGACUGACCGAUAGUGAACCAGUACCGUGAGGGAAAGGCGAAAAGAACCCCGGCGAGGGGAGUGAAAAAGAACCUGAAACCGUGUACGUACAAGCAGUGGGAGCACAGGUUUACCUGUGUGACUGCGUACCUUUUGUAUAAUGGGUCAGCGACUUAUAUUCUGUAGCAAG
rnacentral:rRNA from 1 species